rnacentral:rRNA from 1 species
UGGGGAAUAUUGGACAAUGGGCGAAAGCCUGAUCCAGCCAUGCCGCGUGUGUGAAGAAGGUCUUCGGAUUGUAAAGCACUUUAAGUUGGGAGGAAGGGUUGUAGAUUAAUACUCUGCAAUUUUGACGUUACCGACAGAAUAAGCACCGGCUAACUCUGUGCCAGCAGCCGCGGUAAUACAGAGGGUGCAAGCGUUAAUCGGAAUUACUGGGCGUAAAGCGCGCGUAGGUGGUUAGUUAAGUUGGAUGUGAAAUCCCCGGGCUCAACCUGGGAACUGCAUUCAAAACUGACUGACUAGAGUAUGGUAGAGGGUGGUGGAAUUUCCUGUGUAGCGGUGAAAUGCGUAGAUAUAGGAAGGAACACCAGUGGCGAAGGCGACCACCUGGACUGAUACUGACACUGAGGUGCGAAAGCGUGGGGAGCAAACAGGAUUAGAUACCCCCGUAGUCCCUGAGCGGGCUGGCAAGGCGCAU